UCUUGCAUGUGUAGCAGAGGCUGAAUGAGAUGUGUAGGACAGCAGUCAUGCACUCAGCUGGUAUAUGACUGUAAUAUUUCUGUAAGGGAUCUGGGAUCUUGCAAAUCCUGGUGACUAGAGGGGAACGGGUGUAUACUCAGUGCAUUCUCAUUACCAAGUCCUAAAAUGUUAGCGAGUUAUUCUUGUGUAGUACUCAGUAAUGCUAAUUUGCUCCAGUUCCUGAAGAAAUUAAGGUUUGCUCAGAGCGGCAUGGAAGGUACUCAGCCUUGAGCUAAUGUAAGCCUUAAACAGGAUAUGCCACAUCUGGACUAUGUCAAACACGGAAAGUGGAUGUAAAGGAAGGAGAGAGAGUUAUGGUGCCUUUAAUACAGAAAGCCACAUUGGUAGCAGAGAGGCCAUCAAAUCCCUUAAGAAAGGAGGGAAAUAGAAGACUUCUGAGAGACAUUUGGAUAUUUUUAAGCCUUCUCAGAGCAGGUUGCAUCAACACCCUGCCUCAUUUGUAAGGAACAUCUGGAGCGGCAUUUACCUCCUCUAACUUUGGCAGUCUUCAUGUGAGCUUGUCAUCUGCACUUCUUUUGUCAUCAGUGUAAAGAAAUGGGUACCUGCAGGGUUUGAAGCACCAAGCCUACUCUAGCUGCCUACAUGAGUGAGGGUGGAUGAUAUCUAAAAGUGUGAAUGUGUUCUCACUGGCUAUAAAAUAUGCUUGACAAACGGCCACUCUUGGUCUGUUUCUCCCAGUUAUUAGAUGUAGUGUUGUAUUUAUUUACUGUGCCUUUACUUGUUGGUAUUCCCACACUUUUACUCCCAGCUCAUCAUUCUCUAUUUCUGCAUUUCUCAGUGUAGGCAAGGAAGUCUGGACUUCUUCACAAAGCAAUUCUGUUCCAAAAAGACUUUCUGAGGGCCAACAGCCUGACCCCACUCACAUAAGAGAGGUUCUGUGAUUCUGUGAUUCUGUUAGGAGCUAUCUGUAGUUGACUGCACUGUGCACAGGGCUGCAGCACAACACUGUGGCUGUUCUGCUCCAGAACUCUUCAUGGCAGCUGUACAUUCAGGUCCCUCCAUUAGGUUCAAAAAAUUUGUCUACAAAUUCAUAAAAUAGCAUAUGAAUCCAAAGAUACCACUUCUGGGCCAAGAAACCCCUGAGUGCAGAUAACUGGUAGUGGGAAGAUAAUAUUUGCCCUGUUAUUCCAUUCUUCCAUAGGCACCUGAUGUUGGCUGCCCAACACAAUGCUGGAAUGGUGAUUUGUUGGAAAGACCUGUUAUGAUCAUUUUUAUGUUCUCAUUUUCAGAAGCGUCUCUCUAAACAAAACCUGAGGAAUAGUUACCUAAUGGGAUCUCUUCCAUCUCAUACUGCUGAGAAUCCUCAACUGUGAGUGUAGGUUAGGGUACCUGAUUCUACUUCUACUCACUCUACUGGCAAUAUUCAGGCUUUAUAACUCCUGCAAGUCAUAUGCUGAGUAUAAACUAGAGGAUUCUGCUUUUUCUAGAGAGAAAUACCUAUUAUGUUGCAGAGGGUGAGUUUAGCAUACUCAGGUUUUCUUUAUUCGUGAUUUGUGACUGCUCCAAGUACAGACUUCCUUCUUGCUCCUUGAUUAGCAAGUUCUAGCAGCCUAGCAAAGUCACACAAUUUAUUACUGCUAUAGAGGUUAAUGGAUCACUUUACAUGUUGAUAAUGUCUUAUUAUUGCCUUGGAUAUUAAAAUGAAUGUAGCUCAGACACCAGGACUCGGUAGUAACAUCAAGCAUGUUUAUUUGAUUACAGCAAGGAUGAAAAAUGCAGUGUGCAGAGUGCACUUGGUGGUUGAAACAAAUUCAUCACAACCACUUAUUACACCCAACCAUCUUUUUUACACCCUGCAAAUUACCCUUCUUUUCCACACAUUGCCUCUAUUGACCAUGAGAAUGGCUAUUGUUUAUCAGUAUUGAUGGUGUGAGAAAAAAACAAGGUUAAUGGUGUGAUUGCUGCAAGAAUGGACCAGUAAUAACACCUAUCUAUACUAGAGAGUGCCAGAAGUAGAUGCAAAGGUACACCUCACCCUUGGCACUGAAGAUCUCCAUCCUAAACAUUCGUAGUCUGGAUUAUUCAGCUUCUGUGUUGAAGUACUAUAGACAGAAUGGAAUAAAUCACCGUGUUGGAAUUACAGAAGUUAGAUUUCUACUCUUUUUCAUCUGGGAUGGUGCUGCUCAAUUUUUUCAUAUCCUUUUUGUCUAUUUCCCUGUCUGCAAAAUGAUGAGGAAAAGAGUUGUAUCAUAUUGCAGCUGCUUUUCUUGCUGCUUCUCUAUUGUUACUGAAAAUCAGGUUACUUCAAUGUUCCUCCAUUGACAGUUCAGCUUCAGGGGCUGCAAUAUGUGGGCAUCAUUUCAAAUCCUUAUAGGAACAAGGUGGCCUGGUCUGCCUGGGAGUGCCAAGGUGUUCAUGGAGCCCUGCCUCCUUGUGCCACCAUUUGGUCAAGGGAGCUGACCUCAUUUUGAAGUCUCAAAGGUUGGAGUUCGAUGCCUGCACCUUCAAAGACUCAUCUUUAGUUUGGUCUGGGCACAAGAGUUUGAGUCAGACCUUAUUUCCUGUUCAUAACUAGCUGGCAGAAGAAUGAGCCAAAGUACGUGCAGCAUCCCAGGUAUUUUCCUCUGACGUUCUCUGACUAAGUUAUGAUAUUACAAACAGAAAUUAAGUUUCACGUCCUUGUUAUUUUGCUGCUAAGUCUGCCAGGACUUGGCAGAAGGGAGAAGAGCAGCUGUUUCUCAGGGUGAUGAAGGAGGCUGGGGCAUCACUAAUCUGUUGUUUUCUUUCAGCCUUGACUGCAACAUUCACCCAAAGCAAAGUAAGCACAGCCCAACCACAUGUAAGGAAGUCCUCAUGAAUGUCACUUAUCAAAUAGGCUCCUGAAUAUUUAAGCACACACAUUUAUGUAUAUGUAUGUAUUUGUACAUAUGUGUAUUUACUGGGGGGGUUGUGGGGGAAGGAGGUGGCUAUA